UUAAUAUAAUGGUCUGUCGACACUUUUUCUCAUAUAAUUCGCAAGAGAAAGAGAGCACAUAGUUUCAAAACGCCUUAAAGUGAAAGUGGAAAAGUUCGUUUGAAAAUGUUGUUUUGGAUUAGAUUUUUCAAUAUAUGGUGUUUAUCUUCAGUCAUCUUUAUUAAAGGCAAUGUACAACUUCAAGCUCGUAUUGCGUCACUGCCCUCAAACUAUAUUUUGAGAAACAUCAGCACCUCAGAGAUUAGCAAAUGUCUGGAGAAGUGUCUCCAAGACUGCUCAUGUUUAUCAUUUCAAAUUUGUAACUCUACCUGCCAACUUCUUUCCACUACGAUAACAAACGAACUAAGUAACAAAGAUGAGAAACGACAAUGUCAACAUUUCACAAUGAACAUAACAAACCAACAUGAGUGUCGAUCAAACUAUUAUCAACAAAGAUGCUUUGUUGUAAUAAAUUGCUGUCUUACUUCAACUUACUGC